GACGAACCGUGCGAACGUUGUUCGGAAUCACUGGGCUUAAAGGGCGCGUAGGCGGGUCAUCAAGUCAGGGGUGAAAUACUUCGGCUCAACCGGAGAAGUGCUUUUGAUACUGGUGACCUCGAGGGGUGUAGGGGCAUGUGGAACUUCCGGUGGAGCGGUGAAAUGCGUAGAUAUCGGAAGGAACGCCGGUGGCGAAAGCGACGUGCUGGACACCUUCUGACGCUGAGGCGCGAAAGCCAGGGGAGCAAACGGG
rnacentral:rRNA from 1 species